AGAGCGAACGCUGGCGGCAGGCUUAACACAUGCAAGUCGAGCGGAUGUAGCAAUACAUCAGCGGCAGACGGGUGAGUAGCACGUGGGAACGUACCUUUUGGUUCGGAACAACACAGGGAAACUUGUGCUAAUACCGGAUAAGCCCUUACGGGGAAAGAUUUAUCGCCGAAAGAUCGGCCCGCGUCUGAUUAGCUAGUUGGUGAGGUAACGGCUCACCAAGGCGACGAUCAGUAGCUGGUCUGAGAGGAUGAUCAGCCACAUUGGGACUGAGACACGGCCCAAACUCCUACGGGAGGCAGCAGUGGGGAAUAUUGGACAAUGGGCGCAAGCCUGAUCCAGCCAUGCCGCAUGAGUGAUGAAGGCCCUAGGGUUGUAAAGCUCUUUUGUGCGGGAAGAUAAUGACGGUACCGCAAGAAUAAGCCCCGGCUAACUUCGUGCCAGCAGCCGC
rnacentral:rRNA from 1 species